rnacentral:rRNA from 1 species
CCUACGGGAGGCAGCAGUGGGGAAUUUUGGACAAUGGACGCAAGUCUGAUCCAGCCAUGCCGCGUGUGGGAAGAAGGCCUUCGGGUUGUAAACCACUUUUGUCAGGGAAGAAACGGCUCGGGUUAAUACCUUGGGCUAAUGACGGUACCUGAAGAAUAAGCACCGGCUAACUACGUGCCAGCAGCCGCGGUAAUACGUAGGGUGCAAGCGUUAAUCGGAAUUACUGGGCGUAAAGCGUGCGCAGGCGGUUAUGCAAGACAGAUGUGAAAUCCCCGGGCUCAACCUGGGAACUGCAUUUGUGACUGCAUGGCUAGAGUACGGUAGAGGGGGAUGGAAUUCCGCGUGUAGCAGUGAAAUGCGUAGAUAUGCGGAGGAACACCGAUGGCGAAGGCAAUCCCCUGGACCUGUACUGACGCUCAUGCACGAAAGCGUGGGGAGCAAACAGGAUUAGAUACCCUGGUAGUCCACGCCCUAAACGAUGUCAACUGGUUNUUGGGAGGGUUUCUUCUCAGUAACGUAGCUAACGCGUGAAGUUGACCGCCUGGGGAGUACGGCCGCAAGGUUGAAACUCAAAUGAAUUGACGGCUGAGACGNGCGAGACGACGACGAGGAGGAGG